CGCGGCCGCAAACCAGCUGCCCCUUCCCUCCUCACUUCAUAUCCUCUUCUCUUGGAUCCCCUCUCUCGUCUAGCUCGCCGGGGGCACCGCCGCUCGUCGUUGCAACACCGGUCAUAGGAACCGGCGGGAUUCGGCAGCCCUCAGUCUGGAUCGACGUCCAUGCCUCCAGCUUCGACAUGCACGCCAGCUGGACGGCACUGUGAAUCGCCUCAUUUUCUAGUGCGUUCUUGCUCCCAGCGUGCAGGAACCUCUUGGACCGAGGCCGCCUUCCUUGGUUCCGUCAGCCGCCGCGGUCGUCAUCCUCACCGAACAGCUAUAGGGACUUUGAGGGGCUCUGCUUUGUCCACAUCUGCUCUGGACCACAGGUUUGAAGCCGCGGAUCCCUCCUACUUCUUCCUGACGCUGACCGCCAUUACCGCUGCCCAUAGCUCGUUGCUCUGCUCUGUCCGACCUCGCCACUAACAGCAGGUUGUGAGUGUGGGAGCGACACUGUUUUUAUUUCAGUAACUUGCUGGCAUAAAUGUUGUCGUGUACUACUCUACGUCCAUGUUCCACAGUACAGGCCUUGCAUCUAAUGUUGCAGCGAGUGCUCUUGUUCGGUGAUGCCAAUGUUUUUGGCACCAUGAUUGCAUCUCCACUGGUGGUCAAGCAAGGAAGGAAGAGCCUUCUCAUAACAAGAUUAUCUGGAAUGGCUCGUCGAUGUUACUCUUGUCAUUGUCCUUCACCUGGAAGGCUUUAGCACCUUAUUAUGGCACUCUUGCUGUUGUUGGCACUGUCCUCCCUCGUCGCUUCCAUAGCAUGAGCACUUAGCCUGAAGAAAACAUCAAGAAUCAAAGUACAGUGAGUGAAAAAACAAAGCACAACGACAACACUAAUAAUUUUAGCAUGAAAAGAAGCAUCAACCAGAUGAACUGCAACUCCCAUGCAAAGCAAGGCUUCUUUAGGAUUUUCCCUGAGAGCAUAAGAGGUUGACACCACCGCAUAAGUUCUUAAGCUGCUGGAAAUCAAUCAGAAGGAAGAAGACAACACCAUCAUCUUCAACCUGUGAAUGUGUCAUAAGUGAAUUUCCUAGAACAGAAUAUCCCUCCAUGUCUAAUGACAAAAGCACACUAUGAAGUGAUGUGUUUAAAUCAUUUCUAUAUUAUUAGAAAUCUAUUGUGCAACUAUAUGAUGCUAUGAUUUCAUUUUUCAAUUGGAACAUUGCAUCGUCCUUCGGGUAGCUACAGCAGCAGCAUAUUGGAGUAUAACUGUAUAACUAAUCUUAUGAUACUAACAAAGCGGACUGCAAAAGUAUCAGACUUAUUCACAAAACUACAAGCUCCUUUUCAUUCAUUUUCAGCUAACAAAUCAUCAAUACGGUAGAUGGCUUUAAUUAUUCAGGCAAAAAUGCUAUAGAUAUCUUAAGAACAAAUAAUAAUAAUUUCCAAAAAUGCAUAUUUUGAGCAUAACGAUUAUGUGUUACUUAUUCACCUUGGCCGCCAUGGCUUCCUGCUCCAAGCCCGUGCAGACCCAUAUCCUCCAUGGUUUGUUGUUCCAAAACUGAGCAGCCCCUUCUUCAUGUGAGAAGAAAGGAGAAACGACGAACACACACACAUUUGUUGUUCCAAAACUGAGCAGCCCCUUCUUCAUGAGAGAAGAAAGGAGAAACGACGAACACACACACAUACACAGAGACGGGAGAAGAGAAAGGACAGAGACGUGCUACCCUAACAAAGUUGGAGGAGGCGAGGAUCGUACUACACACCGGUUGCCUUCCCAGUUCGUGCCAAUCUUGCUAAGGGGCACCGGCCUACUGCAGGGGCCUUCGGCCACCAGCCACCCAUGAUCGGCCACCACGGACGACGCGCACCUGAAGACGACCAAGGGUCGUCGCUCGCGGCGCCUCUCCUGUCUUGACGGCCGUUGCCACCUGUCUAGGGCACCGCACUGCACGCCGCGCUCGCCUGCACUGGCCGUCAACCCGCAUCGCUGGAGCCGAUGCCGGCACUGGGUCUCCUCUUCUUCCAGACCCCGGCCGGCAACUGAGACGGGUAGAGCUCCUCCCCACGUCUUCCUCAUGGGAUGGGCUCUCCUCCUCCCGCAGCUUCCUCUCUCGCUGGCAUAGUGGGCUGGAGUAUAUGAGGAUGCGAUGGUGGUGCAGCUAGCCGGUGGCGCGUGGUGCGGGAUGCCGUGGGAAGGAGGGAGGAGGCGCCGCCAGAUGGAGAGGAAGGCAGGUGGGGAGAAAGGAGGGGGCGCUGCCGGGUGGAGGGGAGGUGGUGUCGAGGGAGUGGAAGGAAUCGAUGAGGGCGUGAUCUGUUUUGACCGCUCGAUCUAGGGCUUUUUCACCGGGAGCGUCAUUGGUCACGAACCCAGUCGACAAGCCCUUCGUUGUAGUGUGGACCAAUGAUUAUAUGGGUCCACUGGCAGCCACCCAGCGAAGCAGCGUGAGGUGUAACAAAAUCUAGCAGUGAAUAGUAAAAAUCAAUGGUGAAAAACGAGCUAGCGAGCUGAUCGAGUGGCCAGCAAUCACUCGCGCGCGAAGGCCUCCAGAACGGCGGGUACUCUAGGAGGCUUUAUAUGUUAGAUGCAUUGACAUGGUAUAGGCUAUGUGAUGAUAUUGGAUCAUGGAACUACAACCGAUUGAAAUUGGAAUUUCGUCAAAAG